rnacentral:rRNA from 1 species
GACGAACGCUGGCGGCGUGCCUAAUACAUGCAAGUAGGACGCAGUUGCGAACGGGUGAGUAACGCGUCGGUAACUGCAUAUUAGAGGGGGAUGACAACUGGAAACGAUAGCUAAUAACGCAUACUAGUAGAUGGACCUGCGUUGUAUUAGGUUGUAGGUAGGGUAAAGGCCUACCUAGGCGGACAUACAUAGGCGUCCUGAGAGGGUUAUCCGGCACACCGGGAAUGGGACACGGCCCAGUCUCCCUCGGGAGGCAGCAAUAGGGAAUCUUCGGCAAUGGGGGGAACGCUGAACGAGCACCGCCGGGGUAGUGAAGGAGGGUCUCGGAGCGUAAAGGUAUGUUGUGCAGGAAGCGGUACUUGAACAGAAAGGGACGGCUAACUACGUGCCAGCAGCCGCGGUAAUAC